rnacentral:rRNA from 1 species
CGCGGCCUAUCAGCUUGUUGGUGAGGUAACGGCUCACCAAGGCAUCGACGGGUAGCUGGUCUGAGAGGACGGUCAGCCACACUGGGACUGAGACACGGCCCAGACUCCUACGGGAGGCAGCAGUGGGGAAUCUUGCGCAAUGGGCGAAAGCCUGACGCAGCCACGCCGCGUGAGGGAUGAAGGCUUUCGGGUUGUAAACCUCUUUCAGCAGGGACGAAAAUGACGGUACCUGCAGAAGAAGCUCCGGCCAACUACGUGCCAGCAGCCGCGGUAACACGUAGGGAGCAAGCGUUGUCCGGAUUUAUUGGGCGUAAAGAGCUCGUAGGCGGUUCAGUAAGUCAGGUGUGAAAGUCCAAGGCUCAACCUUGGAACGCCACUUGAUACUGCUGUGACUAGAGUCCGGUAGAGGAGUGUGGAAUUCCUGGUGUAGCGGUGAAAUGCGCAGAUAUCAGGAGGAACACCGACGGCGAAGGCAGCACUCUGGGCCGGUACUGACGCUGAGGAGCGAAAGCAUGGGGAGCGAACAGGAUUAGAUACCCUGGUAGUCCAUGCCGUAAACGUUGGGCACUAGGUGUGGGGCCUUAUCAACGGGUUCCGUGCCGUAGCUAACGCAUUAAGUGCCCCGCCUGGGGAGUACGG